rnacentral:rRNA from 1 species
AGACGGAGGGUGCAAGCGUUGUUCGGAAUUACUGGGCGUAAAGCGCGUGUAGGCGGCCCGAUAAGUCGAGUGUGAAAGCCCGAGGCUCAACCUCGGAAGUGCAUUCGAAAUUGUCGGGCUUGAGUACGGGAGAGGGAAGUGGAAUUCCUGGUGUAGAGGUGAAAUUCGUAGAUAUCAGGAGGAACACCGGUGGCGAAGGCGGCUUCCUGGACCGAUACUGACGCUGAGGCGCGAAAGCGUGGGGAGCAAACAGGAUUAGAAACCCCAGUAGUCC